CCUACGGGAGGCAUCAGUGAGGAAUAUUGGUCAAUGGACGAGAGUCUGAACCAGCCAAGUAGCGUGAAGGAUGACUGCCCUAUGGGUUGUAAACUUCUUUUAUAUGGGAAUAAAACGUUCCACGUGUGGGAUUUUGUAUGUACCAUAUGAAUAAGGAUCGGCUAACUCCGUGCCAGCAGCCGCGGUAAUACGGAGGAUCCGAGCGUUAUCCGGAUUUAUUGGGUUUAAAGGGAGCGUAGGUGGAUUGUUAAGUCAGUUGUGAAAGUUUGCGGCUCAACCGUAAAAUUGCAGUUGAAACUGGCAGUCUUGAGUAUAGUAGAGGUGGGCGGAAUUCGUGGUGUAGCGGUGAAAUGCUUAGAUAUCACGAAGAACUCCGAUUGCGAAGGCAGUUCACUGGACUGCAACUGACACUGAGGCUCGAAAGUGUGGGUAUCAAACAGGAUUAGAUACCCGUGUAGUC
rnacentral:rRNA from 1 species